rnacentral:misc_RNA from 1 species
AACGCACAUUGCGCCCGCCAGUAUUCUGGCGGGCAUGCCUGUUCGAGCGUCAUUUCAACCCCCAAGCCCCAGCGGCUUGGUGUUGGGGACCGGCCCCGGCCGCCCCCCAAAUGCAGUGGCGACCUCGCCGCAGCCUCCCCUGCGUAGUAGCACAACUCGCACCGGAGCGCGGAGACGGUCACGCCGUAAAACGCCCAACUUCUCAGAGUUGACCUCGGAUCAGGUAGGAAUACCCGCUGAACAUAA